rnacentral:rRNA from 1 species
GAUGAACGCUGGCGGCGUGCCUAAUACAUGCAAGUCGAGCGAAUGGAUUAAGAGCUUGCUCUUAUGAAGUUAGCGGCGGACGGGUGAGUAACACGUGGGUAACCUGCCCAUAAGACUGGGAUAACUACGGGAAACCGGGGCGAAUACCGGAUAACAUUUUGAACCGCAUGGUUCGAAAUUGAAAGGCGGCUUCGGCUGUCACUGAUGGAUGGACCCGCGUCGCAUUAGCUAGUUGGUGAGGUAACGGCUCACCAAGGCAACGAUGCGUAGCCGACCUGGGAGGGUGAUCGGCCACACUGGGACUGAGACACGGCCCAGACUCCUACGGGAGGCAGCAGUAGGGAAUCUUCCGCAAUGGACGAAAGUCUGACGGAGCAACGCCGCGUGAGUGAUGAAGGCUUUCGGGUCGUAAAACUCUGUUGUUAGGGAAGAACAAGUGCUAGUUGAAUAAGCUGGCACCUUGACGGUACCUAACCAGAAAGCCACGGCUAACUACGUGCCAGCAGCCGCAGUAA